rnacentral:rRNA from 1 species
AGUGAACGCUGGCGGUAGGCCUAACACAUGCAAGUCGAACGGCAGCACAGUAAGAGCUUGCUCUUACGGGUGGCGAGUGGCGGACGGGUGAGGAAUACAUCGGAAUCUACUUUUUCGUGGGGGAUCACGUAGGGAAACUUACGCUAAUACCGCAGACGACCUACGGGUGAAAGCAGGGGAUCUUCGGACCUUGCGCGAUUGAAUGAGCCGAUGUCGGAUUAGCUAGUUGGCGGGGUAAAGGCCCACCAAGGCGACGAUCCGUGGCUGGUCUGAGAGGAUGAUCGGCCACACUGGAACUGGGACACGGUCCAGACUCCUAAGGGAGGCAGCAGUGGGGAAUAUUAGACAAUGGGCGCAAGCCUGAUCCAGCCGUACCGCGUGGGUGAAGAAGGCCUUGGGGUUGUAAAGACCUUUUGUUGGUAGAGAAAAGCAGCAGGUUAAUACCCCGCUGUUCUGACGGUACCCAAAGAAUAAGCACCGGCUAACUUCGUG